CCUACGGGUGGCAGCAGUGGGGAAUAUUGGACAAUGGGGGGAACCCUGAUCCAGCCAUGCCGCGUGUGUGAAGAAGGCCCUCGGGUUGUAAAGCACUUUCAGUGAGGAAGAACGCCUGGUGGUUAAUACCCAUCAGGAAAGACAUCACUCACAGAAGAAGCACCGGCUAACUCCGUGCCAGCAGCCGCGGUAAUACGGAGGGUGCGAGCGUUAAUCGGAAUUACUGGGCGUAAAGCGCGCGUAGGUGGCUUGAUAAGCCGGUUGUGAAAGCCCCGGGCUCAACCUGGGAACGGCGUCCGGAACUGUCAAGCUAGAGUGCAGGAGAGGAAGGUAGAAUUCCCGGUGUAGCGGUGAAAUGCGUAGAGAUCGGGAGGAAUACCAGUGGCGAAGGCGGCCUUCUGGACUGACACUGACACUGAGGUGCGAAAGCGUGGGUAGCAAACAGGAUUAGAUACCCUGGUAGUC
rnacentral:rRNA from 1 species